rnacentral:rRNA from 1 species
CUUGAACCCUAUAAGAGGUCCAGCCUGCCCAGUGAAACAAUUCAACGGCCGCGGUAUCCUAACCGUGCGAAGGUAGCGUAAUCACUUGUCCUCUAAAUUAGGACUAGUAUGAACGGCAUCACGAGGGUUAUACUGUCUCCUUUUUCCAAUUAGUGAAUUUAAUUUUCCCGUGAAGAAGCGGGAAUAAGUCUAUAAGACGAGAAGACCCUAUGGAGCUUUAAACAAUCUAGCAUUUGCCUAUAUUCUUCAUGUUUCAGAACUCUCUAGACCUCCUACAUAAUGACUAGAAGUUUUAGGUUGGGGUGACCGCGGAGUAAAACCCAUCCUCCAUAAUGAAAGAAUUUUAAUUCUUAACCAAGAAAUACCUAUCUAAGUAUUAACACACUGACAUUUAUUGACCCAAUACAAUUGAUCAACGAAC